rnacentral:rRNA from 1 species
UACGUAGGGGGCAAGCGUUGUUCGGAAUUACUGGGCGUAAAGGGCGCGUAGGCGGCACUGUUAGUCAGGCGUGAAAGUCCUGGGCUCAACCUGGGAACUGCGCUUGAUACGGCAGAGCUAGAGGAUGGAAGAGGGUCGCGGAAUUCCCAGUGUAGAGGUGAAAUUCGUAGAUAUUGGGAAGAACACCGAUGGCGAAGGCAGCCAUCUGGACCGACACUGACGCUGAGGCGCGAAAGCGUGGGGAGCAAACAGG